rnacentral:snoRNA from 1 species
GUGCUGCCUUUAAACCUGCCGCACCUGCCUGUGGCAUGGGGGGUUAAGCUGCAGCGUCAGAGCAAGUGCUGACGCAUAACUGGGGCUGCCAAGCCCUUUUAACCGUGAGUGACACGG